AGGUCAGCAUACUGCCGUGAAUACGUUCCCGGGCCUUGUACACACCGCCCGUCACACCAUGAGAGUUGGGAAUACCCGAAGCCUGUGAGCUAACAUUUAUGAGGCAGCAGUCGAAGGUAGAAUCAAUGAUUGGGGUGAAGUCGUAACAAGGUAAC
rnacentral:rRNA from 1 species